rnacentral:rRNA from 1 species
AUUGAACGCUGGCGGCAUGCCUUACACAUGCAAGUCGAACGGUAACAGGUCUUCGGAUGCUGACGAGUGGCGAACGGGUGAGUAAUACAUCGGAACGUGCCCGAUCGUGGGGGAUAACGCAGCGAAAAGCUGUGCUAAUACCGCAUACGAUCUACGGAUGAAAGCGGGGGAUCGCAAGACCUCGCGCGGACGGAGCGGCCGAUGGCAGAUUAGGUAGUUGGUGGGAUAAAAGCUUACCAAGCCGACGAUCUGUAGCUGGUCUGAGAGGACGACCAGCCACACUGGGACUGAGACACGGCCCAGACUCCUACGGGAGGCAGCAGUGGGGAAUUUUGGACAAUGGGCGCAAGCCUGAUCCAGCCAUGCCGCGUGCAGGAUGAAGGCCUUCGGGUUGUAAACCUCUUUUAGCAGGGAAGAAGCGAAAGUGACGGUACCUGCAGAAAAAAGCGCCGGCUAACUACGUG